rnacentral:lncRNA from 1 species
UGCCUAGAGAGUGUAAAUUUGGAACGAAUCGAUGUCAACGUUCACAAGAACAAAAACCGGAACAACAUUAGACAACUCAGUUGCGCCCUAACAGUAUAACUUUGAAACGAGUACUUUUUCUCAUUCUAUCAAACAAAAGGUAAAACCUAAUUAUAUAGUUCAAUUAUGUCCCGAGAGUGUAAAUUUGGAAUGAAUCGAUGUCAACGUUCACAAGAACCAAAACCGGAACAAAAUUAGACAACUCAGUUGUGCCCGAACAGUAUAACUUUGAAACGAGUACUUUUUCUCAUUCUAUCGAACAAAGAGUAAAACCUAAUUAUUUUGUUCUAUUAUGCUCCGAGAGUGUAAAUUUGGAAUGAAUCGAUGUCAACGUUCACAAGAACCAAAACCAGAACAACAUUUGAAUACUCAGUUGCGCCCUAAUAGUAUAACUUUGCAACGAGUACUUUUUCUCAUUCUAUCGAACAAAGAGUAAACCUAAUUAUAUUCUUCUAUUAUGCCCAGAGAGUGUAAAUUUGGAACGAAUCUAUGUCAACGUUCACAAGAACCAAAACCGGAACAACAUUAGGCUAAUCAGUUAGGCCCCAACAGUAUAACUUUGAAACGAGUACUUUUUCUCAUUCUAUUGAACAAAGUGUAAAACCUAAUUAUAUUGUUCUAUCAUGCCCAGAGAGUGUAAAUUUGGAACGAAUCGAUGUCAACGUUCACAAAACAAAAACCGUAACAACAUUAGACUACUCAGUUGCGCCCUAGCAGUAUAACUUUGAAACGAGUACUUUUUCUAAUUCUAUCGAACAAAGAGUAAAAC